rnacentral:rRNA from 1 species
UGCNGGUCUGCUCAGUAACACGUGGACACCUACCCUAAGGAGGGGGAUAACCCCGGGAAACUGGGGAUAAUACCCCAUAGACUAGAGAAGCUGGAAUGCUCUCAAGUCCAAAGGUCCGCCGCCUUAGGAUGGGUCUGCGGUCGAUUAGGUUGUUGUUGGGGUAACGGCCCAACAAGCCCGUGAUCGAUACGGGUUGUGAGAGCAAGAGCCCGGAGAUGGAUUCUGAGACAUGAAUCCAGGCCCUACGGGGCGCAGCAGGCGCGAAAACUUUACAAUGCGGGAAACCGUGAUAAGGGAACCCCGAGUGCCCGUAAAUUCGGGCUGUCCAUCAGCGUAAAUAACUGGUGAAGAAAGGGCCGGGCAAGACCGGUGCCAGCCGCCGCGGUAAUACCGGCGGCUCGAGUGGUGGCCACUAUUAUUGGGCUUAAAGCGUCCGUAGCUUGGUUGUUAAGUCUCUUGGGAAAUCUACCGGCUCAACCGGUAGGCGUUCAGGAGAUACUGGCAAUCUAAGGACCGGGAGAGGUGAGAGGUACUCCAGGGGUAGGAGUGAAAUCCUGUAAUCCUUGGGGGACCACCUGUGGCGAAGGCGUCUCACUAGAACGGCUCCGACAGUGAGGGACGAAAGCUGGGGGAGCAAACCGGAUUAGAUACCCGGGUAGUCCCAGCUGUAAACGAUGCGCGUUAGGUGUAUCGGUGACCACGAGUCACCGAGGUGCCGAAGGGAAACCGUGAAACGUGCCGCCUGGGAAGUACGGUCGCAAGGCUGAAACUUAAAGGAAUUGGCGGGGGAGCACCACAACAGGUGGAGCCUGCGGUUUAAUCGGACUCAACGCCGGAAAGCUCACCGGAUAAGACAGCGGAAUGAUAGCCGGGCUGAAGACUCUGCUUGACUAGCUGAGAGGAGGUGCAUGGCCGUCGUCAGUUCGUACUGUGAAGCAUCCUGUUAAGUCAGGCAACGAGCGAGACCCGA